rnacentral:rRNA from 1 species
AAUACCGGAUAGGCAAUUUUUCCUGUAAUGGUUUUUUGUUUAAAUGUUUUUUCGCCUAAGGAUGGGUCUGCGGCCGAUUAGGUAGUUGGUUAGGUAAUGGCUUACCAAGCCGUUGAUCGGUACGGGUUGUGAGAGCAAGAGCCCGGAGAUGGAACCUGAGACAAGGUUCCAGGCCCUACGGGGUGCAGCAGGCGCGAAACCUCCGCAAUGUGAGAAAUCGCGACGGGGGGAUCCCAAGUGCCAUUCUUAACGGGAUGGCUUUUCA